GAUGAAGAACGUAGCGAAAUGCGAUAAGUAGUGUGAAUUGCAGAAUUCCGUGAAUCAUCGAAUCUUUGAACGCACAUUGCGCCUUCUGGUAUUCCGGAAGGCAUGCCUGUUCGAGAGUCAUUAACAACCGUUUCGAUCCCUUUCUUUCAGAAAUUACAAAGAGGAAAAGGGUUUGGUUAUGGUGGAGGAGGGAAAGGGAUCGUUUAGCCUGUAAAAAAAGAGGCUGUGUUCCGCCUCCCCCCCAAAAUUGUACAGGCGGUCGUGUGCGCCCACGCAUCGAGGUGUUGUAAAAGCUGCCACGGCACUUUUCACCUGUGCAGUGCGAGAUUGGCCAGCCGGUUUAAAAACCCCUCCAAACAAUCAAAGGUUGACCUCGGAUCAGGUAGGGAUACCCGCUGAACUUAAGCAUAUCAAUAAGCGGAGGA
rnacentral:misc_RNA from 1 species